rnacentral:lncRNA from 1 species
GAUCCUCUGAUUACCAACUCAGCUGGUUCUAACUGGGUGCAGUGGGAUGUGUCUGCAAGUAAACUAUUGCAGUAUGUGUAUAUAAUCUCUUGUCAUGUGUUCUCUAGGUCAUGUGCUGUCAGUUUAUAUCUUCUGGUUUAGGAAGCAAAACAAGUUAUUAAUGUAGAUGGACUUGCAUUGAUUUUAGCAGGAUUUGUGGAAAAGAAAUAAUUCAUUGAAGUUGUCAGAGCUGCUGUAGUGUUCUCAGAGUGUUUCAAUUAGAACUUUUAAGGAACUGGAAAACCCAAAGCUCAGGUGAUGGAAAAGUUUGCCUGAACUUCAGGAAAGAUUUCCCAUUUUGCAAUUUCUCCUGGAUCAGCAUUCCAGAGCCUUCUUUCUUCUUGUCUGGGGAAGAAAAGUUUAUAAGUACCAAGAAAACAGAGCUUACGGAAGAAAGCACGGGACUGGGCUAUGCUAAAAAAGGGAUUUUUAUGCUUUUUACUUCAUAUCUGACUUGUAGGGCACUGUGAGUGUGGUGCCAGACUGAGGCUCCCCUGAGCUUGAGGUGUGUAGGAAUCAUGUAUCUACUCGCUGCUCUUAGUGGUACCUGUCCUGAAGGUGGAGCAUCUAUACAGAUAACAGCAGUGACACACUGAGGGACUACAUUUGUUCUGGGGUUUGACACUGGCAGGUCACUAAGCCCCAGGCACCUGCCUUUCAGUGCCUGUAACAGAAAUAGUGAGUGCCUGCUGCAGCUGGCUGAAGGAGAUGUGUGCCCUGUAGGAGCAGAGGAAGGUGGGAUAUUAGCAGUUUAUCUGUUUUAUUAAAGUUGUCUCUAGGAAGCAGUGGUUAGUCACAGCAGUCCCCCCUGAGUUUAAAGGGAUUAAUAACUUCGGCAAGAACUCAUUUAUAUUGCAGACAAGUGAGCUCAUCUAAGCCCUGUAUGUUGAAGGGUUGAUCCUAACAGAAAGUAAGUUUUAAACAUCCACAUCAUUUAUUAUAUGUGCUCUCUGUCUGCUCAGCAGCUGGCUCAGGCCUCAGUGAUCUAAUUCACCAUAUCUGACCACCACAUGAGGGAGUCUUUAAACUGUUAGAAAUCAGUGUGUGGGUUUGUGUGCGUGGAGGGGUGAGAGUGGAGCAAUGUAC